GUUAGAAGGUGGGGGCUCCUAGGAGACAUAAACAACUCUGCUUCAUUGAGAUAUUCUCUCCUAAGGGGUAAUGUUCUAACUCUGAAAUUUUCACAUCUGAUUGGUUCAGUUUGGUGCUUUCAUUGAGAUAUUCCCUCGAGAGGUCUUUGGAAAAUCUGAAUUUUGAGUGUUUUCGGCCACAAGGCUUGGGAGGUAUUGUGCCUAUUAUUUUCGGUCCUUAGAUCUUGUUCUAGAACUUGGGCUAGUAAGGGAUCCUUCCGAUUCCUUACUAGAUUUUUAUCAAUGGAAUUAAAUCAUUAGUUAUUUUCUUUUAUUGCUUAUCUUUGCAAUUGAGUGAUUCAUCUAGAUCUAGGCGUGGAAUAAACUACAGCCAGUAAUCCCUACAAAUAGUCUAAAAUUCCACAGCAUAGAGAAAUGGACAUC
rnacentral:lncRNA from 1 species